UUAAGUUCAGCGGGUAUCCCUACCUGAUCCGAGGUCAACCUAAAAAAAUUGGGGGUUGUUGGCAAGCAUCCCUCCAGACCCAAUCGCGAGAGAAAUUACUACGCGUAGAGCUGAAGAGCACCGCCACUGUUUUUAAGGCCCGCCAGGGAGGCGAAGCCCAAGACCAGCAAGCUGGAUUGGUUAUAAUGACGCUCGAACAG
rnacentral:misc_RNA from 1 species